CUCAAGGCACCUUCACAUUAAGGUCAGUCCAUAUGGCUAACAGUAGAUUUAAUAUUUCUAUAGAAGCAGAAAGAAUGUUAAUGUUUCUGGGGGGUGAACCCAGGGGGACAUGAGGUCCAGGACAAGAGGGUUAUGGUGUGAACCCAGGGGGACAUGAGGUCCAGGACAAGAGGGUUAUGGUGUGAACCCAGGGGGACAUGAGGUCCAGGACUAGAGGGGUAUGGUGUGAACCCAGGGGGACAUGAGGUCCAGGACUAGAGGGUUAUGGGGUGAACCCAGGGGGACAUGAGGUCCAGGACUAGAGGGGUAUGGUGUGAACCCAGGGGACAUGAGGUCCAGGACUAGAGGGGUAUGGUGUGAACCCAGGGGACAUGAGGUCCAGGACUAGAGGGGUAUGGUGAACCCAGGGGACAUGAG
ensembl:lncRNA